rnacentral:rRNA from 1 species
GACGAACGCUGGCGGCGUGCCUAAUACAUGCAAGUCGAACGCACAGUUUAUACUGUAGCUUGCUACACCAUAAACUGUGAGGUGCGAACGGGUGAGUAACGCGUAGGUAACCUGCCUGGUAGCGGGGGAUAACUAUUGGAAACGAUAGCUAAUAACGCAUAAUAUUAAUUAUUGCAUGAUAAUUGAUUGAAAGAUGGAAUUGAAUCACUACCAGAUGGACCUGCGGUGUAUUAGUUAGUUGGGGAGGUAACGGCGCAACUAGGGGAAGAUACGUAGCCGGACUGAGAGGGGGGUCCGCCACACUGGGACGGGUACACGGCCCAGACGCCUACGGGAGGCAGCAGGAGUGAAACUUGGGCAAUGGGCGAAAGUCUGACCGAGCAACGCCGCGUGAGGGAAGAAGGUUUUCGGAUCGUAAAGCUCUGUUGUAAGGGAAGAACGGGUGUGAGAGUGGAAAGUUCACACUGUGACGGUAUCUUACCAGAAAGCGACGGCUAACUACGUG